UAGACGAGUUUGAGUCCUGGCUCAGAUGAACGCUGGCGGCGUGCCUAACACAUGCAAGUCGAACGAAGGCACUGACCCAUCGGAGGCCGUUCGGCGGAAUGGGUCGAUGACUUAGUGGCGGACGGGUGAGUAACGCUGGGUAACCUGCCCUAUACUGGGGGAUACAGCUAGAAAUGGCUGCUAAUACCGCAUGAGCGCACAGUCCCGCAUGGGACAGUGCGGAAAACUCCGGUGGUAUAGGAUGGACCCGCGUCCGAUCAGCUGGUUGGUGGGGUAACGGCCCACCAAGGCGACGAUCGGUAGCCGACCUGAGAGGGUGACCGGCCACAUUGGGACUGAGACACGGCCCAAACUCCUACGGGGGGCAGCAGUGGGGGAUAUUGCACAAUGGGGGAACCCUGAUGCAGCGACGCCGCGUGAGUGAAGGAGUACUCCGGUAUGUAAAGCUCUAUCAGCAGGGAAGAAGCAAGACGGUACCUGACCAAGAAGCCCCGGCUAACUACGUG
rnacentral:rRNA from 1 species